rnacentral:rRNA from 1 species
UACGGAGGGUGCAAGCGUUGUCCGGAUUUAUUGGGUUUAAAGGGUGCGCAGGCGGCCCGUUAAGUCAGUGGUGAAAGCCUCCAGCUCAACUGGAGAACUGCCAUUGAUACUGGCGGGCUUGAGUACAGACGAGGUUGGCGGAAUUGAUUGUGUAGCGGUGAAAUGCAUAGAUACAAUCAAGAACUCCGAUUGCGUAGGCAGCUAACUAGGCUGUAACUGACGCUGAGGCACGAAAGCGUGGGGAGCGAACAGG